UAGGGAAUCUUCCACAAUGGACGCAAGUCCGAUGGAGCAACGCCGCGUGAGUGAAGAAGGUCUUCGGAUCGUAAAACUACUGUUGUUAGAGAAGAACACGAGUGAGAGUAACUGUUCAUUCGAUGACGGUAUCUAACCAGCAAGUCACGGCUAACUACGUGCCAG
rnacentral:rRNA from 1 species